rnacentral:rRNA from 1 species
GAUGAACGCUGGCGGCGUGCCUAAUACAUGCCAGUCGAACGGGGAGUAGCAAUACUCUUAGUGGCGAACGGGUGAGUAACGCGUUGGUACCUGCCCCGAAGCGGGGGAUAACGGACCGAAAGGUCCGCUAAUACCCCAUGUGCUCGGUAACGAGUAAAGGUGAAAACCACUUUGGGAGGGGCCUGCGUCCCAUCAGCUAGUUGGUAAGGUAACGGCUUACCAAGGCGAUGACGGGUAGGGGACCUGAGAGGGUGGCCCCCCACAAUGGAACUGAAACACGGUCCAUACACCUACGGGUGGCAGCAGUAGGGAAUAUUGGUAAUGGGCGCAAGCCUGAACCAGCAACGCCGCGUGUGCGAUGACGGCCUUCGGGUUGUAAAGCACUUUUGACGGGGACGAGGAAGGACGGUACCGGUCGAAUCAGCCUCGGCUAACUACGUG